UACGUAGGGAGCAAGCGUUGUCCGGAAUCAUUGGGCGUAAAGCGCGCGUAGGCGGCCCCGUAAGUCCGCUGUGAAAGUCAAAGGCUCAACCUUUGAAAGCCGGUGGAUACUGCGGGGCUAGAGUCCGGAAGGGGCGAGUGGAAUUCCUGGUGUAGCGGUGAAAUGCGCAGAUAUCAGGAGGAACACCAAUGGCGAAGGCAGCUCGCUGGGACGUGAACUGACGCUGA
rnacentral:rRNA from 1 species